GUAGGGUGGCAAGCGUUGUCCGGAAUUAUUGGGGCGUAAAGCGCGCGCAGGCGGUCCUUUAAGUCUGAUGUGAAAGCCCACGGCUCAACCGUGGAGGGUCAUUGGAAACUGGGGGACUUGAGUACAGAAGAGGAAAGCGGAAUUCCAAGUGUAGCGGUGAAAUGCGUAGAGAUUUGGAGGAACACCAGUGGCGAAGGCGGCUUUCUGGUCUGUAACUGACGCUGAGGCGCGAAAGCGUGGGGAGCAAACAGGAUUAGAUACCCUGGUAGUCCACGCCGUAAACGAUGAGUGCUAAGUGUUAGGGGGUUUCCGCCCCUUAGUGCUGCAGCUAACGCAUUAAGCACCCCGCCUGGGGAGUACGGCCGCAAGGCUG
rnacentral:rRNA from 1 species